rnacentral:rRNA from 1 species
UGGCUCCCGUGAAAUCCACGGGCAUAACCCGUGGGCGCGCGGGGGCUACUAUCGGUCUUGGGGACAGGAGAAGUUAGGAGUAUUCCGGGGGGAGCGGUGAAAUGCUGUAAUCCCCGGAGGACUACCCGCGGCGAAAGCGCCUAGCUAUCCUGCUCCCGACGGUGAGGGCCGAAAGCUGGGGGAUCAAAUGGGAUUAGAGACCCCAGUAGUCCCAGCUGUCAACGCUGCGGGCUAUCUGCCGGGAGGGCUUAGAGCCCUUUCGGUGGAGUAGGGAAGCCGUUAAGCCCGCCGCCUGGGGAGUACGGCCGCAAGGCUGAAACUUAAAGGAAUAGGCGGGGGGGCAUGCAAGGGGUGGGGUGUGCGGUUUAAUGGGAACUGACACCGGAAACCUUACCGGGGGCGACAGCGGGAUGAAGGUCGGGCUGAAGACUCUACCAGACUAGCUGAGAGGUGGUGCAUGGCCGUCGUCAGUUCGUACUGUGAAGCAUCCUGUUAAGUCAGGCAACGAGCGAGACCCGCGCCCCUAGUUGCCAGCGGUUCCUUCGGGAAGCCGGGCACACUAGGGGGACUGCCGGCGCUAAGCCGGAGGAAGGUGCGGGCAACGGC